AGAUGUGAGGGUGAUCUGACUGCAAAAUCUCAACCCAUUGCUUGCCAGGAUCGAUUCGGCUAAUGGGUGUCCCCUUCCUCCCUCAUUGCUCCAUGUGCAUCCCUCCCAAAGCUGCACACUUGGUUCAAGAGGACAAUCACCCACGAUAGAGGACUGUUUCCUUGGUCAAGGGUAUACAGUAGCUGAGCUUCUCUGCUAGGACCUCCAAACAAGCUCCCAGGAUUGGAAGUAAACAAUGCUUAAAAAGUAGUCCUGGAGCUAAGCAUGAUUCCUAUAAUCCCAGCACUCAGGAAGCUGAGGCAGGAGGAUCACCAUG
ensembl:misc_RNA 7SK 7SK RNA